rnacentral:rRNA from 1 species
GUGGGGAAUAUUGGUCAAUGGGGGAAACCCUGAACCAGCAACGCCGCGUGAAGGAAGAAGGCCUUCGGGUUGUAAACUUCUUUGACAGGGGACGAAAAAAAUGACGGUACCCUGAAAACAAGCCACGGCUAACUACGUGCCAGCAGCCGCGGUAAUACGUAGGUGGCGAGCGUUAUCCGGAUUUACUGGGUGUAAAGGGCGCGUAGGCGGGUAUGCAAGUCAGGUGUGAAAAUUAUGGGCUUAACCCAUAACCUGCAUUUGAAACUGUGUAUCUUGAGUGAUGGAGAGGUAAGUGGAAGUCCUAGUGUAGCGGUGGAAUGCGUAGAUAUUAGGAGGAACACCAGUGGCGAAGGCGACUACCUGGACUGAUACUGACACUGAGGUGCGAAAGCAUGGGGAGCAAACAGGAUUAGAAACCCCUGUAGUCC